rnacentral:ncRNA from 1 species
GUCAAGACGAAGAACAAGAGGAGUAGCUAAAUACUCAUUUUUUAGAGAGAAAAUCAGCAGGUGAAAGAUUUUCAAAUGAAUUUAGUGAAGGUAGCUUGGGAGUCUUUGACUUGAAGAAGUAGUAGAGUCAAACGAGUCGUGAUCGUUAUCACACGCAUGAAGUGGCAGGUAAUCCUGCAAUUUAGGUGGUACCGCGUAAACUACGUCCUAAAA